CCGGGCUGAGCUUGGCCCGAGCGGCUUACAGGGCACGUGGCCUAGGGAUGGGUCCUUGAGCCCAGCCAGAAACUUGAAAGCGGUGUUUGUGAGUUACCUGCAGACUACGAAACCAGUGUCCUGCAUUUAGCUAGGUGUCGCAACGCCUCAGAAUUGAGUCAGCCCGGCUUUCUUACGCGGCGCAAGCUCCUGGGUUUGUUAAUUAGUCGAUACCUUCUGGAGUAUCCAGAGACCACCAGUGUUAAAACCUGGUUUUUGUGUUGAAAUAAAACAAGUGCCUAAUAUACUACA